GUGGGGAAUAUUGGACAAUGGGCGAAAGCCUGAUCCAGCAAUGCCGCGUGUGUGAAGAAGGCCUUCGGGUUGUAAAGCACUUUAAGUUGGGAAGAAAAAGCUCUGGCUAACAUCUAGAGCCUUGACGGUACCAACAGAAUAAGCACCGGCUAACUCUGUGCCAGCAGCCGCGGUAAUACAGAGGGUGCUAGCGUUAAUCGGAUUUACUGGGCGUAAAGCGUGCGUAGGCGGUUUGAUAAGUCGAUUGUGAAAGCCCCGGGCUUAACCUGGGAAUUGCAGUUGAUACUGUCAGACUCGAAAACGGUAGAGGGAGGCGGAACUCCAGGUGUAGCGGUGAAAUGCGUAGAUAUCUGGAAGAACACCGAUGGCGAAGGCAACCUCCUGGGCCUGUUUUGACGCUGAGGCACGAAAGCGUGGGUAGCAAACAGGAUUAGAUACCCCUGUAGUCC
rnacentral:rRNA from 1 species